ACAUCCUACGGGAGGCAGCAGUGGGGAAUAUUGGGCAAUGGGGGAAACCCUGACCCAGCAACGCCGCGUGAGGGAAGAAGGCUUUCGAGUUGUAAACCUCUGUCCUAUGGGAAGAAGAAAGUGACUGUACCAUAGGAGGAAGCUCCGGCUAACUACGUGCCAGCAGCCGCGGUAAUACGUAGGUGGCAAGCGUUGUCCGGAUUUACUGGGUGUAAAGGGCGUGCAGCCGGGCUGACAAGUCAGAUGUGAAAUCCCGCGGCUCAACCGCGGAACUGCAUUUGAAACUGUCAGUCUUGAGUACCGGG
rnacentral:rRNA from 1 species